UACGGGGGGGGGCAAGCGUUGUUCGGAAUUACUGGGCGUAAAGGGCUCGUAGGCGGCCAACUAAGUCAGACGUGAAAUCCCUCGGCUUAACUGGGGAACUGCGUCCGAUACUGGAUGGCUUGGAUUUGGGAGAGGGAUGCGGAAUUCCAGGUGUAGCGGUGAAAUGCGUAGAUAUCUGGAGGAACACCGGUGGCGAAGGCGGCAUCCUGGACCAAUAUUGACGCUGAGGAGCGAAAGCCAGGGGAGCAAACGGG
rnacentral:rRNA from 1 species